rnacentral:rRNA from 1 species
UAGAGUUUGAUCCUGGCUCAGAACGAACGCUGGCGGCAGGCUUAACACAUGCAAGUCGAGCGCCCCGCAAGGGGAGCGGCAGACGGGUGAGUAACGCGUGGGAAUCUACCUUUUGCUACGGAAUAACUCAGGGAAACUUGUGCUAAUACCGUAUGUGCCCUUCGGGGGAAAGAUUUAUCGGCAAAGGAUGAGCCCGCGUUGGAUUAGCUAGUUGGUGAGGUAAAGGCUCACCAAGGCGACGAUCCAUAGCUGGUCUGAGAGGAUGAUCAGCCACACUGGGACUGAGACACGGCCCAGACUCCUACGGGAGGCAGCAGUGGGGAAUAUUGGACAAUGGGCGCAAGCCUGAUCCAGCCAUGCCGCGUGAGUGAUGAAGGCCCUAGGGUUGUAAAGCUCUUUCACCGGUGAAGAUAAUGACGGUAACCGGAAAAGAAGCCCCGGCUAACUUCGUGCCAGCAGCCGCGGUAA